UACGAAGGGGGCUAGCGUUGUUCGGAAUUACUGGGCGUAAAGCGCACGUAGGCGGCUUUGUAAGUCAGGGGUGAAAUCCCGGGGCUCAACCUCGGAACUGCCUUUGAUACUGCAAGUCUCGAGUCCGAUAGAGGUGAGUGGAAUUCCUAGUGUAGAGGUGAAAUUCGUAGAUAUUAGGAAGAACACCAGUGGCGAAGGCGGCUCACUGGAUCGGUACUGACGCUGAGGUGCGAAAGCGUGGGGAGCAAACAGG
rnacentral:rRNA from 1 species